rnacentral:lncRNA from 1 species
GUGCACUCUGCCAGUGGGUGGGGAACACGAGAAAGGACCUGUGGUGUGGAAUCCUGCAUUGGGGUCCAGGGUGCUAUCCACAAAGGCUCCCCUCAGGCCAGCCAGGGGGCUCAGAGCAGCAGGUAUGAGUUCUGUGCAGUCACAGGCACAUGUCCGGGAGGAUGGGAGGAGACAGACAGUUCAUAUCCAGCUGUCCCUCAGGGUCAUGGUCACCAGGAGGAGGGAGACAGAGCACUCACACCUGGCUGCCCUCAGGGCUGUGGUGACCUGGGGCUGCUGCACGAGGCAAUCUGGAUCCAGUGCCGAGGGACUGGGAGAAUGUGGAGAACAGGAGAACUGGAAUCUGCUUCAGGGAGUUGCCUAACCAGGGGAGGAGUGCAAGCUGAUCAGGAUCAGCCCUUUGUUGUCUUCUGGGUGCCCUGCAGGUGUGUGAACCACCUUGUUUUUGGGCUUCCAGGUCACACAAGUUCCUCCUCCCAGAAGUGAAAGCAGUGAGGAAAGGCCCAGCCUCCUGCCCGCACAGUCCAGGGCUGAAGUCUUGGUGCACUUGGUGUCACUCAGUUGGUGGGGACUUUAUUACAAAGUUAUCAAUGGGGGAAGCAGGGAUUGGACUAUUUCCUGCACCUCUUGUGACUCCCAGCGCAGGGACUCACUUCCUGUCCAGAUCAGUUUCUGCUGCUUCUCACCCAGUGUACGCAGAGGACAGAUCCUAUGGGUCACGUUUUUGCAUUAAACUAAACUAAAUUAGAUUUGAUUGAACUUGCCUCACAGGUAGUGGACUGCACCCUGAUUUAGCAAGAAAAGUGCAUUCUUGGGACACACGACUGUGUCUCGGCCAAUCACAGCAGCUGGGCUCUGCUCCCAGGGGCCCAGAGGCACCUGCUGCCCUGCACGCUCUUCGUAGCUUUCGUCUCACCGUCACCAAUCCCUGCCGCUCCCUGGGAUUUACCCAACGAGCUGUCCCUCUGUCAGUCAGACACGCACAGCAUCCGUAUUCACAAUACAAAUCUGGGAGCAACCACGAUGUGCUACAACAGUUGAAAUGAGUAAACAAGCUGUGAUGUAGGCAUAGAAGAAGUGCUGUUUGCUGACAAUACGUAUUUCUCGGGAUAUACUGGAGCGCAUGUUGCUGAGUGAAUAGGCCAGUCUGCAAAGGCUGUCUCCUGUGUGGUCUUGACUGCAUGCACUCUCAAAGAAGCAGGACUAUGGAGCCUGCACCGUGAUCCAGGGUUUCAGGGUCAAGGGGCGCGGGAGAGUCAGGGCAGUGAAAUUAUUCUAUCUGGCAUUGAAAUGGUGGAUACUUAAAACUACAUAUUCUGUAGGACAAAACCUGUGAAUUUAUGCCAUAAGGAGAGCACUUUAAUCUAAAGUACAUACAAUUUAUCAACACUUAUUCAUCACUUGUAAGAUGCUAAUAGUGGGAGAAACAUGUGGCUAUUUGGACUUCCUUGUAUUUCUGCUCAAUUUUUCUUUAAAUCUAGAACUU